rnacentral:rRNA from 1 species
ACUCCUACGGGAGGCAGCAGUGGGGAAUAUUGCACAAUGGGCGCAAGCCUGAUGCAGCCAUGCCGCGUGUAUGAAGAAGGCCUUCGGGUUGUAAAGUACUUCUAGCAGUGAGGAAGGCGAGUACGUUAAUAGCGUGCUCGUUGUACGUUAGUCUGCAGAAGAAGCACCGGCUAACUCCGUGCCAGCAGCCGCGGUAAUACGGAGGGUGCGAGCGUUAAUCGGAAUUACUGGGCGUAAAGCGCAUGCAGGUGGUUUGUUAAGUCAGAUGUGAAAGCCCGGGGCUCAACCUCGGAAUUGCAUUUGAAACUGGCAGACUAGAGUACUGUAGAGGGGGUAGAAUUUCAGGUGUAGCGGUGAAAUGCGUAGAGAUCUGAAGGAAUACCGGUGGCGAAGGCGGCCCCCUGGACAGAUACUGACACUCAGAUGCGAAAGCGUGGGGAGCAAACAGGAUUAGAUACCCUGGUAGC